GACGAACGCUGGCGGCGUGCUUAACACAUGCAAGUCGAACGAUGAAGCUGGAGCUUGCUCCGGUGGAUUAGUGGCGAACGGGUGAGUAACACGUGAGCAAUCUGCCCUUGACUCUGGGAUAACUGCGGGAAACUGUAGCUAAUACCGGAUACGAGAUUUGGAGGCAUCUCCGGAUCUGGAAAGAAUUUCGGUCAAGGAUGAGCUCGCGGCCUAUCAGCUUGUUGGUGAGGUAAUGGCUCACCAAGGCGACGACGGGUAGCCGGCCUGAGAGGGGAACCGGCCACACUGGGACUGAGACACGGCCCAGACUCCUACGGGAGGCAGCAGUGGGGAAUAUUGCACAAUGGGCGAAAGCCUGAUGCAGCAACGCCGCGUGAGGGAUGAAGGCCUUCGGGUUGUAAACCUCUUUUAGUAGGGAAGAAGCGAAAGUGACGGUACCUACAGAAAAAGCACCGGCUAACUACGUGCCAGCCGCCGCGGUAA
rnacentral:rRNA from 1 species